AACGAACGCUGGCGGCAGGCCUAACACAUGCAAGUCGAGCGAGGACUUCGGUUCUAGCGGCGGACGGGUGAGUAACGCGUGGGAAUGUGCCCUUCUCUACGGAAUAGCCCUGGGAAACUGGGAGUAAUACCGUAUACGCCCUAUUGGGGAAAGAUUUAUCGGAGAAGGAUCAGCCCGCGUUGGAUUAGGUAGUUGGUGGGGUAAUGGCCUACCAAGCCGACGAUCCAUAGCUGGUUUGAGAGGAUGAUCAGCCACACUGGGACUGAGACACGGCCCAGACUCCUACGGGAGGCAGCAGUGGGGAAUCUUAGACAAUGGGGGCAACCCUGAUCUAGCCAUGCCGCGUGAGUGAUGAAGGCCUUAGGGUUGUAAAGCGCUUUCAGCUGGGAAGAUAAUGACGGUACCAGCAGAAGAAGCCCCGGCUAACUCCGU
rnacentral:rRNA from 1 species